rnacentral:rRNA from 1 species
GAUGAACGCUGGCGGCGUGCUUAACACAUGCAAGUCGAACGGUGAAGCAGGAGCUUGCUCUUGUGGAUCAGUGGCGAACGGGUGAGUAACACUUGAGCAACCUGCCCCUGACUCUGGGAUAAGCGCUGGAAACGGCGUCUAAUACUGGAUAUGUGAUGUGACCGCAUGGUCUGCAUCUGGCAAGAAUUUCGGUUGGGGAUGGGCUCGCGGCCUAUCAGCUUGUUGGUGAGGUAAUGUCUCACCAAGGCGUCGACGUGUAGCCGGCCUGAGAGGGUGAACGGCCGCACUGCGACUGAGACACGGCCCAGAGUCCUACGGGAGGCAGCAGUGGGGAAUGUUGCACCAUGGGCGGACGCCUGAUGCGGCAACGCCGCGUGAGGGAUGACGGCCUUCGGGUUGUAAACCUCUUUUAGCAGGGAAGAAGCGAAAGUGACGGUACCUGCAGAAAAAGCACCGGCUAACCACGUGCCAGCCGCCGCAUUAA